UCUCCGUAGGUGAACCCGCGGAGGGAUCAUUACAGAGUUCAUGCCCUACCGGGUAGAUCUCCCACCCUAUGUUAUUAUUACUUUGUUGCUUUGGCGGGCCGUUAGGCUCCGGCCCGACUACCGGCCCCGGCUGGUAAGCGCCCGCCAGAGGACCCAAAACCCUGAAUAUUAGUGUCGUCUGAGUACUAUAUAAUAGUUUAAACUUUCAACAACGGAUCUCUUGGUUCUG
rnacentral:misc_RNA from 1 species